rnacentral:rRNA from 1 species
AUUGAACGCUGGCGGCAGGCCUAACACAUGCAAGUCGAGCGGGGUUUUCGGACCUAGCGGCGGACGGGUGAGUAAUGCGUAGGAAGCUGCCCGAUAGAGGGGGAUACCAGUUGGAAACGACUGUUAAUACCGCAUAAUGUCUACGGACCAAAGUGUGGGACCUUCGGGCCACAUGCUAUCGGAUGCGCCUACGUGGGAUUAGCUAGUUGGUGAGGUAAUGGCUCACCAAGGCGACGAUCUCUAGCUGGUUUGAGAGGAUGAUCAGCCACACUGGAACUGAGACACGGUCCAGACUCCUACGGGAGGCAGCAGUGGGGAAUAUUGGACAAUGGGCGCAAGCCUGAUCCAGCCAUGCCGCGUGUGUGAAGAAGGCCUUCGGGUUGUAAAGCACUUUCAGCGAGGAGGAAGGGAUGUAUGUUAAUAGCAUGCAUUUUUGACGUUACUCGCAGAAGAAGCACCGGCUAACUCUGUGCCAGCAGCCGCGGUAGUACAGAGGGUGCAAGCGUUAAUCGGAAUUACUGGGCGUAAAGCGCACGUAGGCGGUUAGUUAAGUUGGAUGUGAAAGCCCCGGGCUCAACCUGGGAAUUGCAUUCAAAACUGGCUAACUAGAGUAUGUGAGAGGGGGGUAGAAUUCCAAGUGUAGCGGUGAAAUGCGUAGAGAUUUGGAGGAAUACCAGUGGCGAAGGCGGCCCCCUGGCACAAUACUGACGCUGAGGUGCGAAAGCGUGGGGAGCAAAC